rnacentral:rRNA from 1 species
UACGUAGGGUGCGAGCGUUGUCCGGAAUUAUUGGGCGUAAAGAGCUUGUAGGCGGUUUGUCGCGUCUGCCGUGAAAAUUCGAGGCUCAACCUCGAACUUGCGGUGGGUACGGGCAGACUAGAGUGUGGUAGGGGAGACUGGAAUUCCUGGUGUAGCGGUGAAAUGCGCAGAUAUCAGGAGGAACACCGGUGGCGAAAGCGGCGUGCUGGCCCUCUUCUGACGCUGAGGCGCGAAAGCCAGGGGAGCGAACGGG